UACGUAGGGUGCAAGCGUUGUCCGGAAUUAUUGGGCGUAAAGAGCUCGUAGGCGGUUUGUCACGUCUGCUGUGAAAACUCGGGGCUUAACUCCGGGCCUGCAGUGGGUACGGGCAGACUAGAGUGCGGUAGGGGAGACUGGAAUUCCUGGUGUAGCGGUGAAAUGCGCAGAUAUCAGGAGGAACACCGGUGGCGAAGGCGGGUCUCUGGGCCGUAACUGACGCUGAGACGCGAAAGCGUGGGGAGCGAACAGG
rnacentral:rRNA from 1 species